GACGAACGCUGGCGGCGUGCUUAACACAUGCAAGUCGAACGGAAAGGCCCUGCUUUUGUGGGGUGCUCGAGUGGCGAACGGGUGAGUAACACGUGAGUAACCUGCCCUUGACUUUGGGAUAACUUCAGGAAACUGGGGCUAAUACCGGAUAGGAGCUCCUGCUGCAUGGUGGGGGUUGGAAAGUUUCGGCGGUUGGGGAUGGACUCGCGGCUUAUCAGCUUGUUGGUGGGGUAGUGGCUUACCAAGGCUUUGACGGGUAGCCGGCCUGAGAGGGUGACCGGCCACAUUGGGACUGAGAUACGGCCCAGCCUCCUACGGGAGGCAGCAGUGGGGAAUAUUGCACAAUGGGCGGAAGCCUGAUGCAGCACCGCCGCGUGCGGGAUGACGGCCUUCGGGUUGUAAACCGCUUUCGCCUGUGACGAAGCGUGAGUGACGGUAAUGGGUAAAGAAGCACCGGCUAACUACGUG
rnacentral:rRNA from 1 species